GGUUGGGUCUUGAGCAACGAGUGCUUGUUGAACCCCGUCAGGUCCGGAAGGAAGCAGCGGUAGAUGAGUUGUUCGUGUGACGCAAGGGUGCCUGACCUGA
rnacentral:SRP_RNA from 1 species